rnacentral:piRNA from 1 species
UUAACGCUGCUUGCUCCCUUCUCAGGG